rnacentral:rRNA from 1 species
GUAGUCUUGGCCAUAAACGAUGUUCACUAGGUGUUGGGGGGUUUCCCUCGGUGCCGCAGCUAACGCAUUAAGUGAACCGCCUGGGGACUACGGCCGCAAGGUUGAAACUCAAAGGAAUUGGCGGGGGCCCGCACAAGCGGUGGAGCAUAUGGCUUAAUUCGAUGCAACGCGAAGAACCUUACCAGGGCUUGACAUGGAGCUGCAAGCCGCCGAAAAGCGGUCGCUUUCGAAGGUGCUUCACAGGUGGUGCAUGGCUGUCGUCAGCUCGUGUUGUGAAAUGUUGGGUUAAGUCCCGCAACGAGCGCAACCCUCAUGUUCUGUUACCAGCGGAUAAUGCCGGGGACUCGGAACAAACUGCCUCUGUAAAGAGGA